rfam:Janibacter hoylei PVAS-1 Contig57, whole genome shotgun sequence.
GAGGAACCCGGUGAGAGUCCGGGACGGUCGCGCCACUGUGAGCGGGUCUUCCGCGAGUCAGGAACUC